AUGUCGUACGACCUCGCGUACGCUCCUGCAACGUUUCAAGGAGUUGUCGACACGGUGCUCGAGCCAGUCCUUCGCCACGGGGUUUUGGCAUUCAUGGACGAGAUCUUGAUCCACUCUGAGGACCUAGAAGAGCAUCCGCGGCUGCUAGCACGCGUCCUGCAGCUAUUGUGUGAAAAGGACCUCAAGGCCAAGAUGUCCAAAUGCAUGUUCGCUCAGCAGGAAAUCAGUUACCUGGGGCACGUCAUCAGUGACAAAGGGGUAGCCACGGACAAGAGCAAGAUUCAAGCAGUGCAAGAAUGGCCGCAGUCGCAGAAUGUCAAGGAGUUGCGCGGAUUCUUGGGGCUGGCCGGUUAUUACCUGAAAUUUGUCCGCUUCUUCGGAGUGCUCAGCAAGCCCCUCACCAAAAUGUUGAAGAAAGGGGCAAUUUUUGUCUGGACACCGACGGCUAAAGCCGCGUUCUCUGCGCUGAAACAAGCUCUGGUGCAGGUCCCGGUGCUUGCACUGCCAGACUUCCGGAAGCAAUUCAUCGUCGAAACGGACGCGAGUGCCAUGGGAAUUGGCGUAGUCCUGACAAGGAGGGCAUCCGGUUGCGUACCUCAGCAAAGUGUUGGCUCCAUGAAAUUUAGGCCUCUCAGCAUACGCGAAAGAGUGCCUGGCUCUGCUUCUGGCCAUCGACCACUGGCGGCCCUACCAGCAGCAUUCAGAGUUCGUGGUCCGUACCGAUCAAAAGAGCCUGCUAAACCUGACGGAUCAACGGCUCAACACCCCAAUUCAGCAAAGGGCGUUUACGAAGCUGAUUGGCCUGCAAUACACCAUUCAGUACAAAACAGGAGUGACAAAUCGAGCAGUUGA
rnacentral:rRNA from 1 species